rnacentral:rRNA from 1 species
UACAGAGGGUGCAAGCGUUAAUCGGAAUUACUGGGCGUAAAGCGUGCGUAGACGGUUACGUAAGUCGGGUGUGAAAUCUCCCGGCUCAACUGGGAGGGUGCGCCGGAUACUGAGGGGCUAGAGUGUGGGAGAGGAAAGUGGAAUUCCUGGUGUAGCGGUGAAAUGCGUAGAUAUCAGGAGGAACACCGGUGGUGUAAACGGCUUUCUGGACCAUAACUGACGCUGAGGCACGAAAGCCAGGGGAGCGAACGGG